rnacentral:ribozyme from 1 species
AUCCGUCCCUCUCUCGAAAUAACGGGCAUCACGAAUGAGUUUGUACAGUCCUUGUACGCUCCCUGCAGACACCCAGGAAAAGUGUGAUGUGACACAGAUUUGAAAAAACAGCAAACAUGGAAAGUUUUACAUGAUGUAAACGACCCCCCCCGCAUCGAUUCUUUCGGUGAGAAGAAAGUUUUCCUUCUUUUUUAUUCCUAGCGGAGUAAAUGGGCUUCGCGAACGCCGUUCCUCCUUGUG